AAUAAUUACGGGCCGAAGCCCAAGCAACAACAAAGAUCUAUUUAUUUAGAAGAUGGCCCAAUAAUGCCCUAUAAUUCUCACCUAGCUCGAGCCCAUGUCCGUCCGAUUACAUCCAACGGCCCAAAAUAUAGCUAGGGUUUUGCUCAUAAACGCUAGCACCUCGCUCCCUCACUCCCACAACGCAUCUCCCAUUUCUCAUCCGCCGGUUCUCAUCGGAGGACCUCCAACAAAUAUCGCAAGGUUUUCCAGUCUCGCUUCGCCGCCAUGAGAGCCAAGUGGAAGAAGAAGAGGAUGAGGAGGUUGAAGAGGAAGCGCCGAAAGAUGAGGCAGAGAUCCAAGUGAGAGCAGCAGCUGAGUGUAGCUGUUCACAUAGGGGUUCUCGUGUCCUUUUGGAUUUUAUCAGACUUAGCGGUUUGUUUAGAAUUAAUGUGAAACCUUUGGCGUUCUUAUCUGUUUAUCUUUGCUGCAUUUCUUAAUAUUUAAAUGGAAUUUGACUGCUUUUUAUGAUUGCUUUGGUUUGAUUAAAGUGUGGUUUUACU